rnacentral:misc_RNA from 1 species
GGUCCGACCCAAAUCAUUUUCCUUUACACUGUGCACAUACUACUUUUUUACACCAAUUUUUUUAACACAUCAGUCUUAAGAAUGUAAAUCAAGUCUCGAAAGAGCAAUAAAUAAAACAAAACUUUCAGCAACGGAUCUCUUGGCUCUCGCAUCGAUGAAGAACGCAGCGAAAUGCGAUACGUAAUGUGAAUUGCAGAAUUCAGUGAAUCAUCGAAUCUUUGAACGCACCUUGCACUCUUUGGUAUUCCGAAGAGUAUGUCUGUUUGAGUGUCAUGAAACUCUCAACCCCCUCAUUUUGUAAUGAAGUGUAGCGUGGGCUUGGAUUAUGGCUGUCUGUCGGCUUCACUGCCGGCUCAGCUGAAAUACACGAGCAACCCAGUUUAAAACCCUGACGGCUUGACUCGGCGUAAUAAUUAUUUCGCUGAGGACGUCUAACCUUUAAAUCGUUAGUGGUGCUUCUAAUGCAUUAUUCAUUUAAG